GACGAACGCUAGCGGCGUGCUUAACACAUGCAAGUCGAACGGGCCCGCUCUCUUUUUUGGGGGUGGGUUGAGUGGCGAACGGGUGUGUAUCACGUGAGUAACCUGCCCCCUGCUCCUGGAUAACUGCUUGAAAGGGCGGCUAAUACGGGGUGUGCCGGCUGGUCCGCAUGGGCCUGGUCGGGAUAGUUUCAUCUUCGGGUGUUUCGGUGGGGGAUGGGCUCGCGGCCUAUCAGCUUGUUGGUGGGGUGAUGGCCCACCAAGGCGGUGACGGGUAGCCGGCCUGAGAGGGUGGGCGGCCACACUGGGACUGAGACACGGCCCAGACUCCUGCGGGAGGCAGCAGGGGGGGGGAUUGCACAAUGGGCGGAAGCCUGAUGCAGCGACGUCGCGUGAGGGAUGGAGGCCUUCGGGUUGUGAACCUCUUUCUCCGGUGGUGAAGGCCCUGUCCGUUGCGGCGGGGUUGACGGUAGCCGGGUAUGAAGCGCCGGCUAACUACGUG
rnacentral:rRNA from 1 species